rnacentral:lncRNA from 1 species
UUGAGGAAAUGUAAAUAUAAAUAGCCUAUGAUCAAAAUCAACUCUAAUUCUUUUGGCUGCCCUGUAUUAUAGUCCAGAAUCGCUGAGUUUACACUAAAAGAAAACUUCAAAAACCAGAGGCACACAACAUUUUUUUCGAUGGGAAGAGGUACCUCAACAUUUUUUUUUAUGGCAAGAGGUACCUCAACAUAUCUGUGCAUUAGUUCAAAGGUUGACGAGGUAAGCGAGGACGUACUGGUGUUUUAGACGGACUUACCCUGGAAAAACAAGGACGGAAAGUUCGAAAGACUGUAUUGUAAGAUACGAAGUCGAUGAUUUUCAACAAG